GAUCGUGCUGUUGUGGUGCCGGGCGGCAGUGAGGAUGCGGAACAAGUGAGUUCAUUACAGCGAGGGGGGGAGGAGAAAACUACAUGGAGCAAAGGGCAGCGCCGGCCAGUGGGAGGAGAGCAGUUGGAGAAGACAACGGUAGAGCAGAGAGGGGAGAUUCUGCAGCAGGACAGCUUAGAACAAUCCGCCCUCACACUAUCGCCGGUUGGAGGGCCGGGGAGAUCACUCAGCAGCUCCACUUAGGCUGCCAGGCACUUCAAUGCGUUGCCAUGACUCUGGGACGCGUUGCCACGGCAGCCGAGGCGGAAGCAUGCUGACGUCACCGGAAGUGACGCGGACGCAGCAGCGGCGGGCGGAAGCGGACACCGGCCCCGGCUCUCCGACGGCGUGAUGGCUGGGCACCUAUUUAGGCUGUGAAAAGAAGGGGCCAGGCUGACAUCACUAACAGUCAUCCAGAAAGGAUUGGUCAUCGAAUAGGAGACAAAAGACCCACUGCAUGGCAAGCAGACUCUGAGUGAAAUGGUCUUACAUUGUCUGGAGAGGCAGAAGAAGAUGUCUCACUGACAGUUGAAGAACCAAUAGUCAUAAAUAAAGACCAAGGUCUUUCCUUGCCACUGUUUCUGGUGAAUGAUGCACUGACUUAAAUCCUCUAGGCCCUUGGGCAUCGGCUAUAGUAGAUGACGUUGAAGGAAUUGUAUCAACAUGAUGGGUAGCAGCAGCUCCAGUGCUAGUAUUUGCUUGCUGCACCUGCUCUUCUCUCGACUGAUCGUCAUGAUCCAUAUUGAUGAACACACUCAAGGUGUACAAAAACUACAGUUUAAUAGUUUUAUUUAUUUACUUAAACCUUUUAAAAAAAAAUCACCAUUCACUGUGGAGUCACAGUAUUAAAAUGACAAAAUGGGUAUAUAGGGGAAUCAAUGCACCUUGUCACCUUCUAAAUAAAAAUAA